UACAGAGGAUGCAAGCGUUACUCGGAAUCACUGGGCGUAAAGCGUGCGUAGGCGGUUGGUUAAGUCUGCUGUGAAAGCCCUGGGCUCAACCUGGGAACUGCAGUGGAUACUGGCCAGCUAGAGUGAGAUAGAGGAUGGUGGAAUUCCCGGUGUAGCGGUGAAAUGCGUAGAGAUCGGGAGGAACACCAGUGGCGAAGGCGGCCAUCUGGAUCAACACUGACGCUGAGGCACGAAAGCGUGGGGAGCAAACAGG
rnacentral:rRNA from 1 species